CUCCUCUCUCGGACUUAGCCACGCCCUUCAUUAGUUCCUGAGGGGAUUUUUCAGAACAGAGGUUAUGGCAGUUUCACCAUCCAAUUCCAUUUUUAUCAGGUGUGCUUCCUGGCCAAAGAAGUCAGAUGAGUGCAUGAGCAGCCCCUUUGAGGACAAGGCUUGGAUUCCCAGGAGCAGACAAGGAACUCUGUGGGCAUACUCCAAGGAAACUGGACCUCCUCUGUCACAGGAAAUCCACUGUUUAAGCACCACCACUACCUCAGGAAGUCCACUGUCUGUGUGUCAACUCCACUGUUACAGGACCACAAGUGUCUCAGCACUUCAACUAUCACAGCACUUCUACUGUUCAGGAUCUCAAGAGUCUCAGCAUCUCAAGUGUCACAGGACCUCCUUUGUCCAAGAACUGGACUGUCCAAGCAACACUACUAUUGCAGGACUUCCACUGUAGGAGCACUACAACUGUCUCAGGACACCCACUGUCCUAUAACCUCCACUAUCCCAGGAAUUCCACUGUCGUAGCACCACCCGUAGCAACUAAAGUGUUUCAGGACAUCAACUGAAGCAAGAUCUCCCAUGAUGCUGCAACUUCACUGCCACAGGAUCUCUACAGUGACAGGAAUACCCCUGUAUCAGCAAUUCCAAUUUUGCAGGACCUCCACUGUAGCAGAACCUUCAAUUGUGCAGCAGCUCCCCUGUAAGUAGAUUGACCACCACGAUCUCAGUGCCUCCACUUUCAAAGGACCUUCACUGUCACAGAACCGGCGCUAUUUCAGUGCCUCCACUGUCGCAGGACCUACCUCUUCACAGGAUCUGCACUGUUGCAGCAACUGUAAUUUCAAUUUUUCAAAGUCAUUGCUGG
ensembl:lncRNA